UGAUGAUGAUGAUGAUGAUGAUGGUGAUGAUGAUGAUGAUGACGAUAAGUUUUCAAUAUUGCCAUCGUCGCCGCACUGACCAUGAUCACCAUCGCCGUCGUCGUCGUCGACAUCAUCAUCAACAUCAUCA
rnacentral:pre_miRNA from 1 species